GCUUCUUCUGUUACAACUGCUGCUUCUUCUGUUACAACUGCUGCUUCUUCUGUUACAAGCUCGAAGUCAUGGGAAGAUUUCCGAAAGUAUCGCUCCCAGCAUCCAGGCCCUCUAUCUAUGAGGGCCUUCCAUCGCUGGUGUUUGUAUGGGGACGACCAUCCCUCCUUUAGAUGGAGGGAUGGCACCCCAUACAACACGGGGAAUAGAGCGGAUGCUGGGAGGAGAAGACAACGUGGCUCAAAAGUUGUCAAUAUUUUUUUACAUUUUAAAAUG